rnacentral:RNase_P_RNA from 1 species
AAUCCUGGGUAAUUGCGGUCGGCAAUUGUCGGCUGAGGAAAGUCCAUUCUCGCACAAGCUGAGAUGCUUGUAGUGUUCGUGGUCAGCGAAAAAAUAAGCUGGCGGACGUCUUAAUUGGCGUUACGGCGGAAAAAACGACUAAGGCUUCGGCUAUGUCCGAGUAUUCCUGAAAAGUGCCACAGUGACGAUACAACAUGGGAAACUGUGUUGGUGGAACGCGGUAAACCCCUCGAGCGGGAAACCCAAACUUAUGGUAGGGGAGCUUCACAUCUGGAAAUGAACUAAAUGUGGGGGGAGAACAAGUUAUUGUUCUCGAGAUAGAUGAUUACCACCAAGUCAGUGAGCCUGAAUCCUGAUUUGGUACAAAACAUGGCUUACAGGG